ACUAGUUACCACUUAAAUCUCUUUUGAUACAGAAAUCAGAAUAAACCAAGUUUUAAUCAGGUCUGAAAAUGUUCAAGUUCAAAAGUCAAUAAUACCAAUUUGGAGAUUUUACACAAAGAAGUGUCCCUGCCCAAUUCUUCCUCAGAGGAAGAGAAGGGUGGGUUCAAAAACAGAGCAAUUCAAGGCCUUUAAAUCAGUUGGCUGACAUACUGUUUUAAACCUAUAGGUCUUUUCCCCCACAUAAACAAAAUUCUUUUCCAUAUGAACUUAUAUUUUGAAAACAUUUAGGCCAUUAUACUUUCUAAGCUGCAUUACUACAGUUCCUAAAACUCAGGAGAAAAAAAGAUGUAUAGUUCACUUGCACUUUUUAAAGUCAGGACUUUUUUUUUUUUUUCUUUUUCUCUUUUUGGUUUUUCUUUCUUGGAAGAUGGCUGAUCUCAAAUCUUAUAUCCUAAAUAGUAACUGAUAUUCUCCAAGUUAAUAUACAGAAAGACAUGAUUCUAAAAUAAAUACAAUUCAGGGUUGUGCACAUGUUCUGCAAAAUUAACUGACACCACAGAUGUCUAACUCAGCACAAGAAAAAGCGCUCUCUCCCUUCAGGUGUCCGGGAGAUGCACUAGCUGCAAAAGGAUGCAGAGCGCAGACUUCAGAUCUCUGACUUAAUACAGCAAAGGUGCCAUGUCUGCCAAACGUCUAUAACCUAACAACCUUUCACUUCAGCUAUAAGAAACAAUUUUUGCAAAAGUGGCGUAAGAUACUUAGGCACAUGAAACAGACAUAAGUACACUCCCCUCUCUAAGAUGUAAACUAGGACCAACUUCACAUUUCAUUGUCAACUUAAACUAAUCUGUAAACUCUUAUGUGUGUGGUUUUUUUUGUUUGUUUGUUCUUUUAUUAAAAAACAAAAACAAAAACAAAACAAAAACAAACACCAAAAACCCCAAGCCAAGACAAAACCUUUGAUGGUUUCAGUUCUAUGGCAACAAGUAAAAAGAUAAAACUCCAAGUCUACUUAUACAACCAAUUAUGAAACUGGUUUUAAACGAAGGAAACAUAUGCAAAAAAAUCUUUUGUGUAUUUGAUAAAGUCAACUUAAUAUAACAAAAACAAAUUGAAAUAGCUUAUUAAAAGUGUCCUUAUAUAAAAAUGGCCUUGUGAUGUACAGUAAAAUGC
rnacentral:lncRNA from 1 species